AUUGAACGCUGGCGGCAUGCCUUACACAUGCGAGUCGAACGGUAACAGGUCUUCGGUUGCUGACGAGUGGCGGACGGGUGAGUAAUACAUCGGAACGUGCCCAGACGUGGGGGAUAACGAGGCGAAAGCUUUGCUAAUACCGCAUACGAUCUAAGGAUGAAAGCAGGGGACCGCAAGGCCUUGCGCGGUUGGAGCGGCCGAUGGCAGAUUAGGUAGUUGGUGGGAUAAAAGCUUACCAAGCCGACGAUCUGUAGCUGGACUGAGAGGACGACCAGUCACACUGGGACUGAGACACGGCCCAGGCUCCUACGGGAGGCAGCAGUGGGGAAUUUUGGACAAUGGGCGAAAGCCUGAUCCAGCAAUGCCGCGUGCAGGAUGAAGGCCUUCGGGUUGGAAACUGCUUUUGUACGGAACGAAAAGGCUCUGGCUAAUACCUGGGGCACAUGACGGUACCGGAAGAAUAAGCACCGGCUAACUACGUG
rnacentral:rRNA from 1 species